rnacentral:rRNA from 1 species
CGCUGGCGGCUGCUUAACACAUGCAAGUCGAACGAAGGCCCGGAGCUUGCUCCGGAUCCCUUAGUGGCGAACGGGUGAGUAACGCGUGGGAAUCUACCUAAGAAUGGGGAAUAACUGUUGGAAACGACAGCUAAUACCGCACAAUCCCUCAGGGGCAAAGGCUUCGGCCGUUUUUAGAUGAGCCCGCGUUAGAUUAGGCUGUUGGUGAGGUAAUGGCUCACCAAACCUGCAAUCUAUAGCUGGUCUGAGAGGAUGAUCAGCCACACUGGGACUGAGACACGGCCCAGACUCCUACGGGAGGCAGCAGUGGGGAAUAUUGGACAAUGGGGGAAACCCUGAUCCAGCAAUGCCGCGUGAGUGAUGAAAGCCUUAGGGUUGUAAAACUCUUUCAGAAGUGAAGAUGAUGACGGUAACCUCAGAAGAAGCUCCGGCUAACUCCGUGCCAGCAGCCCGCGGUAAUACGGAGGGGUUAGCGUUGAAGCCGAUU